CUUAUCGAAGCCGAUGGAUAGAGUGAUUUUUGCUCUUGAUCCCCAACUCAAGAAAUGAAAUAUUUUGACGAAUUGACUCAAGUUCGGCUCCAGAAGAUUGUAGAACGACGGUCAAACGGGAGACUUCUUCCUGAAGCUUUGCCUCUCGCUCAAUUACCGCCUGGAGUUGUUCAACGGCAGCCAUCUUCUCGGCAUUGGUGGCCACCACUUUGUCCAUCUAUGACCGACGGAAGUCGACAAUCUUUCGAUAGCCGACCUCC
rnacentral:lncRNA from 1 species